UUGAAAUGAGAAAUGGUUAGGCCUAUUUAUAGUUAAGGUUCAGGGACUAACUUGCAAAUGGCCUAAAAAAUUAGGGACCAAACUUGCAAUUAUCCCAUUCAACUUUAAACUCAACUUGCCAACCACUUUUUACUUUAUUCUUUUGGUGCCAAUUGCACCUCCCACCAUUUUUGACUUUUCAACAAGCUCCACCUUGAAGAUUUGAUUAGGAUAAUCACAUCUUCACACACUUCCUUCAACUCCC
rnacentral:lncRNA from 1 species